rnacentral:rRNA from 1 species
UACAGAGGGGGCAAGCGUUGUUCGGAAUUACUGGGCGUAAAGGGCGCGUAGGCGGCCCGCUAAGUCGAACGUGAAAUCCCCGAGCUCAACUCGGGAACUGCGUCCGAUACUGGCGGGCUUGAAUCCGGGAGAGGGAUGCGGAAUUCCAGGUGUAGCGGUGAAAUGCGUAGAUAUCUGGAGGAACACCGGUGGCGAAGGCGGGACUCUGGGCCGAUACUGACGCUGAGGAGCGAAAGCGUGGGGAGCGAACAGG